GACGAACGCUGGCGGCGUGCUUAACACAUGCAAGUCGAACGGAAAGGCCUGCUUUCCCUUGUGGAUUGCGGGUGCUCGAGUGGCGAACGGGUGAGUAACACGUGAGUGAUCUGCCCCCAACUUGGGUAUAAGCCUGGGAAACUGGGUCUAAUUCCCGAUAGGACUGCAGGGUGGUGCCUGUGGUGGAAAACGAUUUUCUAGUGGUUGGGGAUGAGCUCGCGGCCUAUCAGCUUGUUGGUGGGGUAAUGGCCUACCAAGGCGGCGACGGGUAGCCGGACUGAGAGGGUGGACGGUCACAUUGGGACUGAGAUACGGCCCAGACUCCUACGGGAGGCAGCAGUGGGGAAUAUUGCACAAUGGGCGGAAGCCUGAUGCAGCGACGCCGCGUGGGGGAUGACGGCAUUCGGGUUGUAAACUCCUUUCGACCGAGAGGAAGCCACCUGGUUGGAAGGGUGGUGACGGUAGUGGUAGAAGAAGCACCGGCUAACUACGUG
rnacentral:rRNA from 1 species